rnacentral:rRNA from 1 species
AACGAACGCUGGCGGCAUGCCUAACACAUGCAAGUCGAACGAGACCUUCGGGUCUAGUGGCGCACGGGUGCGUAACGCGUGGGAAUCUGCCCUUGGGUUCGGAAUAACUCAGAGAAAUUUGAGCUAAUACCGGAUGAUGACGUAAGUCCAAAGAUUUAUCGCCCAAGGAUGAGCCCGCGUAGGAUUAGCUAGUUGGUGAGGUAAAGGCUCACCAAGGCGACGAUCCUUAGCUGGUCUGCGAGGGUGAUCAGCCACACUGGGACUGAGACACGGCCCAGACUCCUACGGGGGGCAGCAGUGGGGAAUAUUGGACAAUGGGCGAAAGCCUGAUCCAGCAAUGCCGCGUGAGUGAUGAAGGCCUUAGGGUUGUAAAGCUCUUUUACCCGGGAUGAUAAUGACAGUACCGGGAGAAUAAGCUCCGGCUAACUCCGUGCCAGCCGCCGCAGUAA